UGAGGAAUAUUGCGCAAUGGGCGAAAGCCUGACGCAGCGGCGCCGCGUGGAGGAUGAAGGUUUUCGGAUUGUAAACUCCUGUUAAGUGGGAAGAAACGACAAAAUAUAAUACAUUUUGUAACUGACGGUACCAUUAAAAGAAAGCACCGGCUAACUUCGUGCCAGCAGCCGCGGUAAUACGAGGGGUGCAAGCGUUAUUCGGAAUUAUUGGGCGUAAAGGGUGCGUAGGCGGCGUAUUAAGUCAACUGUUAAAACCUCCAGCCUAACUGGAGAUCAGCAGUAGAUACUGGUAUGCUAGAGGAUGGAAGAGAGAAGUGGAAUUCUUGGAGUAGCGGUGGAAUGCGUAGAUCUCAAGAGGAACACCAAUGGCGAAGGCAGCUUCUUGGUCCAUAUCUGACGCUGAUGCACGAAAGCGUGGGGAGCAAAACAGGAUUAGAUACCCUGGUAGUCCACGCCGUAAACGAUGAUCACUAGAUGUUAAUUCUGCUUGCAGAAUUAGUGUCGUAGCUAACGCGAUAAGUGAUCCGCCUGGGGACUACGGUCGCAAGAUUAAAACUCAAA
rnacentral:rRNA from 1 species